rnacentral:rRNA from 1 species
AACAAACGCUGGCGGCGUGCCUAAUACAUGCAAGUCGAACGGGGAAAGCUUUCGGGUGAGUACUAGUGGCGCACGGGUGAGUAACGCGUGGAUAAUCUGCCUUAGAGUGGGGGAUAACUAGUCGAAAGAUUAGCUAAUACCGCAUAAGACCACAAGAACUGCGGUUCAAGAGGUCAAAGGUUUUUCGCUCUAAGAUGAGUCCGCGUAAGAUUAGCUAGUUGGUAGGGUAACGGCCUACCAAGGCGACGAUCUUUAACUGGUCUGAGAGGAUGAUCAGUCACACUGGAACGGAGACUCGGUCCAGACUCCUACGGGAGGCAGCAGUAGGGAAUAUUGCACAAUGGAGGAAACUCUGAUGCAGCGACGCCGCGUGAGUGAUGAAGGCCUUCGGGUCGUAAAGCUCUGUCGCAAGGGAAUAACACAAUGAAUGUACCCUGUAAGAAAGGAUCGGCUAACUUCGUGCCAGCCGCCGCCGUAAGAC